rnacentral:rRNA from 1 species
AACGUAGGAGACAAACGUUAUCCGGAGUUACUGGGCGUAAAGGGCGUGUAGGCGGUUAGUUAAGUCUGGCGUGAAAGCUCUCGGCUUAACCUGGGAACUGCGUCGGAUACUGGAUGGCUUGAAUUCGGGAGAGGGAUGCAGAAUUCCAGGUGUAGCGGUGAAAUGCGUAGAUAUCUGGAGGAAUACCGGUGGCGAAGGCGGCAUCCUGGACCGACAUUGACGCUGAACGGCGAAAGCUAGGGGAGCAAACGGG